rnacentral:rRNA from 1 species
UGCGCAGGCGGGCUUGUAAGUCAGUGGUGAAAUACUGCCGCUCAACGGUAGAACUGCCAUUGAUACUGCAAGUCUUGAAUAUGGUUGAGGUAGGCGGAAUGUGUCGUGUAGCGGUGAAAUGCAUAGAUAUGACACAGAACGCCGAUUGCGAAGGCAGCUUACUAAGCCAUUAUUGACGCUGAGGCACGAAAGCGUGGGGAGCGAACAGGAUUAGAUACCCUGGUAGUC